GGGUGGAUGGCAGAGCGGUUUAUUGCGGACGCUUUCUAAUCGUCUGGUCUUCACAAGAGAUCCGUGGGUUCGAAUCCCACUCCAUCCAACA
rnacentral:tRNA from 1 species